rnacentral:rRNA from 1 species
CUAACACAUGCAAGUCGUACGAGAAGGUAGCUUCGGUUCUGGAGAGUGGCGCACGGGUGAGUAACGCGUGGGGACCUACCUCUUAGUGGGGGAUAACGGUUGGAAACGACCGCUAAUACCGCAUACGCCCUUAUGGGGAAAGAUUUAUCAGCUAAGAGAUGGACCCGCGUUGGAUUAGAUAGUUGGUGAGGUAACGGCUCACCAAGUCUUCGAUCCAUAGCUGGUUUGAGAGGAUGAUCAGCCACACUGGGACUGAGACACGGCCCAGACUCCUACGGGAGGCAGCAGUGGGGAAUAUUGGACAAUGGNGGCAACCCUGAUCCAGCCAUGCCGCGUGAGU